rnacentral:rRNA from 1 species
CGGCAGGCCUAACACAUGCAAGUCGAGGGUAGAGUUCUUCGGGACUUGAGACCGGCGCACGGGUGCGUAACGCGUAUGCAAUCUACCUAUACAGGGGAAUAGCCCAGAGAAAUUUGGAUUAAUGCCCCAUAGUGUUAUCGAAUCGCAUGGUUUGAUAACUAAAGUUCCAACGGUAUAAGAUGAGCAUGCGUCCCAUUAGUUAGUUGGUAAGGUAACGGCUUACCAAGACAAUGAUGGGUAGGGGUCCUGAGAGGGAGAUCCCCCACACUGGUACUGAGACACGGACCAGACUCCUACGGGAGGCAGCAGUGAGGAAUAUUGGUCAAUGGGCGCAAGCCUGAACCAGCCAUGCCGCGUGCAGGAAGAAGCAUCUAUGGUGUGUAAACUGCUUUUAUACAGGAAGAAACAACUCUACGUGUAGAGUCUUGACGGUACUGUAGGAAUAAGGAUCGGCUAACUCCGUG